rnacentral:rRNA from 1 species
ACCAGACUCCUACGGGAGGCAGCAGUGGGGAAUAUUGCACAAUGGGGGAAACCCUGAUGCAGCGACGCCGCGUGAGUGAAGAAGUAUUUCGGUACGUAAAGCUCUAUCAGCAGGGAAGAAAAAAAGUCCUUUGGACUUUGGACGGUACCUGACCAAGAAGCCCCGGCUAACUACGUGCCAGCAGCCGCGGUAAUACGUAGGGAGCGAGCGUUGUCCGGAUUUACUGGGUGUAAAGGGCGUGUAGCCGUGUUGACAAGUCAGAUGUGAAAUCCUGCGGCUUAACCGCAGAACUGCAUUUGAAACUGUUGAUCUUGAGUACUGGAGAGGCAGACGGAAUUCCUAGUGUAGCGGUGAAAUGCGUAGAUAUUAGGAGGAACACCAGUGGCGAAGGCGGUCUGCUGGACAGCAACUGACGGUGAGGCGCGAAAGCGUGGGGAGCAAACAGGAUUAGAUACCCGAGUAC